CGUCUCCGUUAAUGAUUUUAGGUGCUUGCACUUGAAAGAUUUAACAUUGAGACGAGUGGCGAACUGGUGAGUAACACGUGGGUAACCUGCCCUUGAAGUAGGGGAUAACACUUGGAAACAGGUGCUAAUACCGUAUAACAACCAAAACCACCUGGUUUUGGUUUAAAAGACGGCUUCGGCUGUCACUUUAGGAUGGACCCGCGGCGUAUUAGCUUGUUGGUAAGGUAACGGCUUACCAAGGCGAUGAUACGUAGCCGACCUGAGAGGGUAAUCGGCCACAUUGGGACUGAGACACGGCCCAAACUCCUACGGGAGGCAGCAGUAGGGAAUCUUCCACAAUGGACGAAAGUCUGAUGGAGCAACGCCGCGUGAGUGAUGAAGGGUUUCGGCUCGUAAAACUCUGUUGUUGGAGAAGAACAGGUGUCAGAGUAACUGU
rnacentral:rRNA from 2 species